GUAAUCAUUAGCUUAUUAAAUGUGAGCCAGUAUGAAAGAAAAAACAUAAUGUAUCUAUCUUUAUAAAAAUAAGAAAUUAAAGAAUUUUGAAAAUUAAAUUCUUUUGCACUAGACGAGAAGACCCUAAAAAUUUGAUAUAAAAGUAUAUUUAUUUGGGGCAAAUAAAAAUUUGAUCUAAUAAACUAAACAUAAAAAAAAUAAAAAAUAAAUUACUUUAGGGAUAACAGAGCAAUGUAAAAUUAAAGAACUCAUAGAAUUUUAAGAUUGCUACCUCGAUGUUGGAUUCUUACACUAAUCGCUGCAGUAGGCGUAAAAGUAAAACUGUUCGUUUUUUGAAAUAAG
rnacentral:rRNA from 1 species